rnacentral:tRNA from 1 species
GCCUUUGUGGUGUAGUGGUUAGAACACUGGGCGCGUAUUCCAGAGGUCCGUGGUUCAAGUCACGGCGAAAGCG